rnacentral:rRNA from 1 species
AGCGAACGCUGGCGGCAGGCUUAACACAUGCAAGUCGAACGGUAGCACACUACGUGUUUGCUCUUACGGGUGGCGAGACGCGGAAGGAAGACGAGUACAACCGACUCUCCUCUUUCGUGGGGGACCACGUAGGGAAACCUAAGACAAUACCGCAUAUGACCUUCGGGUGGAAGCAGGGGAUAUUCGGACCUCGCGCGAUUGAUUGAGCCGCUGUCGUAUUAGCUAGUUGGCGGGUUAAAGGCCCACCAAGGCGACGAUCCGUAGCUGGUCUGAGAGGAGGAUCAGCCACACUGGAACUGAGACACGGUCCAGACUCCUACGGGAGGCAGCAGUGGGGAAUAUUGGACAAUGGGCGCAAGCCUGAUCCAGCCAUACCGCGUGGGUGAAGAAGGCCUUCGGGUUGUAAAGCCCUUUUGUUGGGAAAGAAAAGCAGCAGGUUAAUACCCCGCUGUUCUGACGGUACCCAAAGAAUAAGCACCGGCUAACUUCGUG